CAGUCGCCACGGUAAUACGUAGGGUGCAAGCGUUAAUCGGAAUUACUGGGCGUAAAGCGUGCGCAGGCGGUUAUAUAAGACAGAUGUGAAAUCCCCGGGCUCAACCUGGGAACUGCAUUUGUGACUGUAUAGCUAGAGUACGGCAGAGGGGGAUGGAAUUCCGCGUGUAGCAGUAAAAUGCGUAGAUAUGCGGAGGAACACCGAUGGCGAAGGCAAUCCCCUGGGCCUGUACUGACGCUCAUGCACGAAAGCGUGGGGAGCAAACAGGAUUAGAUACCCGAGUAGUCCCUGUCUCUUAUAU
rnacentral:rRNA from 1 species